UUUCCGUAGGUGAACCUGCGGAAGGAUCACUAGUGAUUAAAUCGAGAGCGUCUUCAUUGACCUCUCACCCUUCACAUCCACAUACACCCUGUGAAUCGUUUGGCUUUUUCAUUAAUAGAGCGCAAGCUCGACAAGUGAAAAAGUCAUCAUUUAUACAUACCCCAGUCUUAUGAAUGUAACAGUUUUAAUAAACAUAAUAAAACUUUUAACAACGGAUCUCUUGGUUCUCGCAUCGAUGAAGAACGCAGCGAAAUGCGAUAAGUAAUGUGAAUUGCAGAAUUCAGUGAAUCAUCGAAUCUUUGAACGCACCUUGCGCUCCUUGGUAUUCCGAGGAGCAUGCCUGUUUGAGUGUCAUGAAACUCUCACCCUUCAACUUUCUUAAUAGUGGUUGCAGGCGUGGACUUGAGCGCUGCUGGUUUUAAUUAACCGGCUCGCUUGAAAUGAAUUAGCAGAUCCUUUUUGUAAUCGGUUCCACUCGACGUGAUAAGUAUUUCGCCGAGGACAUCUUUACGGAUGGCCGAGAUAAAGAAAGUCUUAGAUCCGCUUCUAAUUCUUAGCCUUACGCAAGUAAGCUAAACCCAUUUUAUGAUCUGGGCCUCAAAUCAGGUAGGACUACCCGCUGAACUUAAGCAUAU
rnacentral:rRNA from 1 species